AUGCAAGAUGGUCAAUCACAUGAUGGAAGCUUGCCCAAUCAGGAAAAAAACAACACAUCAUCCAGAUGUGUGGGUAGUGCUGCCCCAGGGCUUGGAUUCUACCAUGUUGAUGCUCCAGAUGUCAACUCUCAACAUCAUGGGGGUCUAAAAAAUGUGGGCAUUGUGUUGGUGGAAGCUGGAGAAGUGUCGAAACAAGAACUGGCCAAGGAAUUUGCUGACACCUACAAAACCAACUGGCCAUGGCCAAUCAAUGCUCUAGAUGAAUGGUCUUUCUUAGUCAAAUUUCCUCCAGAGAUUGAUGUGGAGCAAGUUACUGGUUACCCUUGUUUUGGUCUGAAAAAAGAUAAUGUGGUGGUCAAUGUUGAGGUCUGGAAAGGUAAUGUGGAGGCUGAGGUUGAUCUACAUGAAGUUUGGAUCAAAAUCAGAAAGAUGAACCCAAAAUGGUGUGAUUGA
rnacentral:rRNA from 1 species